CGACGGAGAUAGCGCUGAUGAUUUAGCUUGCUAUUGAUUCUUGUUUAUCUUAGUGGCGGACGGGUGAGUAACGCGUGAGCAACCUGCCUUUCAGAGGGGGAUAACGUCUUGAAAAGGACGCUAAUACCGCAUGAGAUCGUAGUCCCACAUGGGACAGCGACCAAAGGAGCAAUCCGCUGAAAGAUGGGCUCGCGUCCGAUUAGAUAGUUGGCGGGGUAACGGCCCACCAAGUCGACGAUCGGUAGCCGGACUGAGAGGUUGAACGGCCACAUUGGGACUGAGACACGGCCCAGACUCCUACGGGAGGCAGCAGUGAGGGAUAUUGGUCAAUGGGGGAAACCCUGAACCAGCAACGCCGCGUGAGGGAUGACGGUCUUCGGAUUGUAAACCUCUGUCCUCUGUGAAGAUAAUGACGGUAGCAGAGGAGGAAGCUCCGGCUAACUACGUGCCAGCAGCCGCGGUAAUACGUAGGGAGCAAGCGUUGUCCGGAUUUACUGGGUGUAAAGGGUGCGUAGGCGGCUCGGCAAGUCAGAAGUGAAAUCCAUGGGCUUAACCCAUGAACUGCUUUUGAAACUGUCGAACUUGAGUGAAGUAGAGGUAGGCGGAAUUCCCGGUGUAGCGGUGAAAUGCGUAGAGAUCGGGAGGAACACCAGUGGCGAAGGCGGCCUACUGGGCUUUAACUGACGCUGAGGCACGAAAGCAUGGGUAGCAAACAGGAUUAGAUACCCUGGUAGUCCAUGCCGUAAACGAUGAUUACUAGGUGUGGGGGGUCUGACCCCCUCCGUGCCGGAGUUACACAAUAAGUAAUCCACCUGGGGAGUACGACCGCAAGGCUGAAACUCAAAGGAAUUGACGGGGGCCCGCACAAGCAGUGGAGUAUGUGGAUUAAUUCGAAGCAACGCGAAGAACCUUACCAGGUCUUGACAUCCAGCUAACGAAGUAGAGAUACAUUAGGUGCCCUUCGGGGAAGCUGAGACAGGUGUGCAUGGUUGUCUCAGCUCGUGUCGUGAGAUGUGGGGUUAAGUCCC
rnacentral:rRNA from 1 species